GUGGCUCUGUGGUAGAGUGCUUGCCUUGCAUGCAUGAAGCCCUGGGUUCGAUUCCUCAGC
rnacentral:tRNA from 1 species